rnacentral:rRNA from 1 species
GAUGAACGCUGGCGGCGUGCCUAAUACAUGCAAGUCGAGCGAACGGACGGGAAGCUUGCUUUUCUGAUGUUAGCGGCGGACGGGUGAGUAACACGUGGAUAACCUACCUAUAAGACUGGGAUAACUUCGGGAAACCGGAGCUAAUACCGGAUAAUAUUUUGAACCGCAUGGUUCAAAAGUGAAAGACGGUCUUGCUGUCACUUAUAGAUGGAUCCGCGCUGCAUUAGCUAGUUGGUAAGGUAACGGCUUACCAAGGCAACGAUGCAUAGCCGACCUGAGAGGGUGAUCGGACACACUGGAACUGAGACACGGUCCAGACUCCUACGGGAGGCAGCAGUAGGGAAUCUUCCGCAAUGGGCGAAAGCCUGACGGAGCAACGCCGCGUGAGUGAUGAAGGUCUUCGGAUCGUAAAACUCUGUUAUUAGGGAAGAACAUAUGUGUAAGUAACUGUGCACAUCUUGACGGUACCUAAUCAGAAAGCCACGGCUAACUACGUG